AUGGACACAAGCCCUGGAGCUGCAGGUUCUCUCAUGUCAACCACGCAGAUCCCAGUAGGGACUUUUCCUUGGCUUACAAAAGACAUACCUGCACAUUUAAACUGCUCUUUACUGCUGUCAGUUGCUGGCAGUAAGCCACUCAGGUGGCUUCCUCUUUCUUUACACAAUGUGGUUUUCCACUGCCGUGAAAACAUCUACAAUAACAACAGGACAGUGACACAGAGUCACUUGAGCUGGCAGAACACUCUCGUGUCAAAUUGCCUUAUUAUUCCAUUGGCUGGAGGAAAUAAGAUACCUUCCUUCCCAGUCAAAGAAAAUAAUACUUUGGAGGGCCAGGAGCCUCUGCUUCAAAACCUGCUCAACAGCUUCAGCUUCAGAAUGGGUCACAGACAGCAACUCAAGUUUCUCAUCUGUGGCUUAUCAUUUCUCCGAGUAUGUGACAGAGAUGAACUCUUCACUAAGAAGGGAUGCAGCAUUUACCAAGAGCAGGUAGGUUGCUUUUUCUGAGCAAUAGCCAGCAUUUUCAGAGCAUAAGCAGAAAAAUGCUCCUUUGGAAACAGCACUCACUCUCCCGGGGCAGGCGUGCGCAUUCACCUCAUAAAAACAGACUUGCAAGUCAAACUCAGCUAUGAUUUGGAAUGCAGGCCCUUUUCUGUAGAUGAUGCAGAGCACAAGGUGCUCCCCACAUCGGCCUAUUGGAACAAAACGCACACUUGCAGGACCAGCAACCAACCAAUUCAAAACUGCUACCCGCUUUUGUGAUGGCAUUACAGGGCACAGAAUCAUUAGGGCCCAUUCAAGGGGCAGGGAAGGGAGGCACGGCUUGCUGUUAACUCUGCCAGAUUAGAACUGGGUGUGCACACGUGUCAUGGAGACAGUCAAAUGAAAAUAGCUGGUGCACAACUUCACCAAACACGGAGAAACUGAACCUCACUCCAACUUCUCUGUAAACUAUUAAGCUACUGGGACAGGAAAGGAAUGUCGUCCAUUUGGGCACAGAGGGCCACAACCAAAAUUAUCCGUGGAAAUACUAGCCGCCUUCCUUCCUUUUACUACUUUUUAACUUUUUUUUUGUGAAUGAAAUACAUCUGUUUUUAUGGGGUUGUUGUUGUUGUUUGUUUUUAUGAAAAUGUGUUUUGUUGGUAGUGGUGUUCUGUUGUUUUUCCCCUUUCUUUCUUUCCCCUGCCACGAUUCACUUCAUACUCCAGUCAGAGUCCUUUCAGCCUGUGGCUCGCUCCUUAGGCUCUGACUUCAGCUAGAAAAUGCUCACAAGCCACGGCUGCACGGUCUGACCUCUGACUGACACCACACUCCUCACCCUGGGAAACGAUGGACUGCAACCAACCUCUUGCAAACACAGAAACCUGUGCUAAGAGCAGUCAUCCCUGAAAUACGGGUACCAACAAAACACAGGCGUCAAUUACUUCAGUUGGUAAAUAAGGAAGAGACAAGAGUAGUCAAAACAAAGCCAGCUGCACUAGAUUUACUCACUUUUUCUGCUGUUUAACUCUGCCCUAAGUGUAAAGGGGGAUAUUAAAUCUUAUAAAAUCCAUUCAGCUGUUUCUGAGGUAGAUGAAUGCGGAAAGAAAACCUCACAGCUGUCAACUUCAUUUUUCAAGAUUUUUUUUUUUGUGCUCAGAUAAUUCGGAUGUGACCGUGAUUUACUAAAGAUGUCCCAGAAGCUGUAGUCAUCAUUAGAAAUGUAACUCAGGCUCCUAAGGAGAUCUGUUGCGUUCCUCUGUGCUGACCGAGGAACAGAACAAAAAAGACACUAAGUCGCUGCUCACUUAAAAAGAGUGCCCUCUUUUUCCACAAGUGCACACACACACACACAAACUGCUGGUCCUGCUCCUGCCAGCUGUCCAAUGCUCUCAGUGCCAUGGCCUAAGAGAACAAGCUUGCUGGACUACUCACAAUUCAGUUUUCAAACCUCGUUAUUUAAAGCGAGAUGCACGGAUCCAAAAAGCUGAGUUGUGCGAGUGUAGCACUCCACUGUGAUUUCAACCACGAGAAAAACAAACCUUUACACACAGGAGAAACACCCACGAGCUCUGGAAGGCUUUACCACUCCACCCAGCCUUGUCUCUGGACACACCCGCUGCACUCACUGCACUCUGCAGAACCAGAGAUGGGUGGAGUGCAGGAUAUCCUUUGUCUCCUUUCUUUGAGAAGGGCAAGAUCAAUUACCGAGCUUCAAAACAUCCCAUCAGUCAAGGCAUGACAGUCUCCCAGGCAUAGAGCUGCCAAUUUGCACCCACCUGGCACAAUCAAAGGAAUUCAUUAAGCAGGCUGCCUUAUACUGGCCGCACUGCUGACGCUUUCCAGGGAGUGAGGAAAGCAGUUUGUAAGGAGAGACAAGUACCUUGUACUACACCACCUGAUAUAGCACUACUGAGCAUUACAUGUCCAAAUUUCCAUUGACGUUCUUGAACUACACAUCAGUUUAACACUUGACAGACUUCUUCAGCUCUUAUUUCUGCCAACUGCAGGCAUGCAGCAUUGCAAAUUCUGCACGUUACAACUUCUGAUGAGCAGCUUCUAGCUGAGUAUCAGAGCCUGACCAUCAUCUCACAGCUACAACCCUGUACGUGUUUCUCCUGCAAGAAAAACAUAGGAGGAGAACAAACACCUGUGACUCCAAGAAAACCACCUGCCUUCUCUCAUGAUACCAGAAGAAACACAACAGUUAGGAAACAGAAGUAGACAACGUGCCCAGUAACACCCAGAAGAACAGAGCUAUCUUGGGCAGCCAGCUGAGAAGUACGGGAGCAUCACUCAGAGCACACUCGAGCAAAGGAAAAGCACUGCUGAGUUGCAGCAUGCUUCUGCCAUGCAGACCUGGGGAAUUCUACACAGCUCUCAUGGGAAGAGGAGGAGGAAGCCAGUUGGAUCAGUUCUUACCUCUUUAUCUCUUCCAUUUUAAGAAACAACUACGAGACUGCUUUCAGCAGAGCAGAAAGUUGUCCUUAUUAUGGAAUGGAUCCCAGCAAUGGCUACAUGGUUGCUUUAAUUUUCUCACAGGUAUGAGCCAGGGAUCGUUACUUUCAAAAGAAACCUUGCAGUUGUACUAUGGGAGGCACUCCAGUUCAUGGAUAAUGAGGAUGUCACGGUAAAAGUGUCAUUUUGUAUGUUGCACAAGUUGUCAAACUGUAAAACCAGCACCCUGUAAGUCAAACCCUAGUUUUACAGAGUUCAGAAAAAUAGUUCAUAAAUCCAGUAAGGCAGUUGUUUGUUGGAAGUCAAUGAAAUCAGGGCUUCAGAACAGGACCUUGUCAUGCACUCUGAACUGGGAUCCAAGAAACUGGGACUGUGCAUCAGAAGCAUGACAGAGAGGGAGGACGCUGCACUUCUAAAGCUAAUUACAGACCUCGUGCCCUUGGCACAACCAACACCUUUUUCCCUUCUCACAAACAGGAGUAUGAGACAGUCGCAGGAACACCGAGUCUAAGCCUGAGGAAAAACAGAGUCACCACUGUCAGUUAGAUGCUCUCACCACAACCACCUCUGCUCUCACUUCUACCACAAGCAGUUACUAACUGUUGUGAGGCAUUUGAAUAAUACACUGUUCUUCAAUUAGCAUAUUUCUUUUAAACUCAAAAGCAUUGCUUCUCACUAACAAAAGGAAUUGAGAGUGAAACGUCCAUUCUGACACUCAGCGAGGAGGCAGGUGGGCUUCAGUUCGGCUGCUGGAUGAUGGCGUGGGAGCCUGGGUUGCACACAGUUUUCGUCACCUGCAUGACAAAAGCACGACACACACAGGGGCGGUUUGUUCCUCACGCACCUAAGAAAUGGCACUUGCAAUGAGUUGUACCUAAGAAAUUACUAGCGUAAGAAUACAAGGCUAUUAAAAAGGUGACCCACAAAAUCAGGCCCCAGUGGUUGUGAUGAAGCCGAGGAAGCUUUCAGUCAAGAGGAGCGCUCAGAAAGGAAUAAAA
ensembl:lncRNA